AGACGUAGGGCGCAAGCGUUGUCCGGAUUUAUUGGGCGUAAAGAGCUCGUAGGCGGCUGGUCGCGUCGACUGUGAAAACCCACGGCUCAACUGUGGGCUUGCAGUCGAUACGGGCUGGCUUGAGUGCGGUAGGGGAGACUGGAAUUCCUGGUGUAGCGGUGAAAUGCGCAGAUAUCAGGAGGAACACCGGUGGCGAAGGCGGGUCUCUGGGCCGUUACUGACGCUGAGGAGCGAAAGCGUGGGGAGCGAACAGGAUUAGAUACCCUGGUAGUCCACGCCGUAAACGUUGGGCGCUAGGUGUGGGGGGCCUCUCCGGUUCUCUGUGCCGUAGCUAACGCAUUAAGCGCCCCGCCUGGGGAGUACGGCCGCAAGGCUAAA
rnacentral:rRNA from 1 species